CGCAGCUUUGGGCUCUGCUGACUUCAAGGCUUGAUUCUUCUGCCAGGAGAACACAGCAGGUCCCUCCGACCGCAGUCGGCCUCUCCAGCCUGUCAUGCCUCUGGCCAUGAGGCGACCCGCUGGAGUGAUGGAUUCGGGUCCCUCCCACCCACAGGGCGAGGGGGUGCAUUGGUCUGCUUGGGCCGCUGGAACAAAAUGCCACAGCCUGGGCGAGUGACUGACAUUGCUUCCCCACUGCUCUGGAGGCUGGAGGCCGGAGAUCGAGGUCCCUGACACUAUUUCGGUGAUGCCGGAGCCCAGGAGGAGUCCACCAAGCCCCAGCGUGGCCAUAAGCACCUUCGCAGGACCACGGAGUCGCUGCAGGUGUUCAGCCCUGUUGAGAGUGGCAGUCGGUGUCGAUGGUCACAUCUCAGUAACUCAUCGUCACCAGCGAGUACCACAGAGCAGACACAACCGCGCUUCUCUGUAGAGCCUCCAGUCGAUGCUGAGAGCCACUGGGGCGUCUGACACCCAAGGGUGCAGAGACGUUCACUCCGACUAAGUCCAGAGACCGCGCCCUUUCUAAGGCCCUGACUCACAGCCACCCCAUGCUCAUUGUGCCGGAUGUUUCCACAGCCACAAAGACCGUACGUGAAGAAACAUGAAGCUACAGUGGACGCCUGGAUGAGACACAGAUCACCUUCCAAAUCUGAGCGUGGCCUUGGGACCAACCAGGCAGCCAGGAAGAAGGCAGAGACCAGAGGGAACCCAGGUGCCCUCAAUCCCAGCCUCCUCUAUCCCAGCCUCCUAAUCCCAGCUUCCUCCAUCCCAGCACCCCCACUCCCAGCCUCUGUGAUCCCAGCCUCCCCUAAAGCCCAGACUCUAUGAAUCCCAGCCUCUGAGGUGGGAACUGUUAGUAUCCCCACUCCAUGGACAAGAAAGCUGGGGCCUAGUGAGGCUAACAGUCUAUCCUGAUGGUGUGAGGGAGGGAUCGGCCUCUGAGGGCUGCUUCCACCCGUCUCACCAGUGGCUGCAGGCUCCAGGUGCCACUUUCCUUAAGUCUAUGUUCUUUCCAAGCAUCCUGCUGCUCCAGAAGCUCUGGAGCUGCCAGCACUGCGAGAAGCGAUGGCACUGCAUGCAGGGUGAGUGUAGGACCGGGCGGAGCUGCUCUGUGGCUGGCGGGCACAUUCUUUGUCAACAUGAGCAUCUCUCACUGUUCCUAGACCCACUGGCUCCCCAGCUUCCUUGGAGCCAGGCGUGGCCACAGGAAAAUGUUUAGGUCAAUGACAGGUGAGCAAAAGUGUGAAUACAACCUCCAGGAGUUUUCUUAAAGGAUGGGACAGGCCCUUCCCCUCCUCAUGUCUCCUUCUGGCUGCCUGGAAGGCAAAUGUGAGGGCUGGAGCCUGAGCAGCCACCUUGGGACAUCAGGAAGGAAGCCUGUGCUGCAAUGGUAACUCAGUGACUUGGCGAGACUCACAGAGCCUGCAUUCCCAACACCUGGUGCCCUAUACCAGCCCCGGGCCCCUUCUGUGCGUAUUCUUAGUGUGGGAGAAAAAUCAGCUUUGGUCUAGCUUAAGGCUCUGGGUGGGGGACGGAAUGGGAUAGAAUGGGGAGUCCGGUUCCCCCAGCUGAGCCAGGUGACCGUCCCUCAGGAAACGUUGUUAACAGCGGUGUCUGGAUGGACCAGCAGAGGGCACUCGCACCCACAGGGAAAAAUCGUGCGACCGGGCUGGUCCUCCGCCAGAAGACGCCGCUACACAAUGGAGUCUCGCUCUGUCGCCCAGGCUGGAGUGCAAUGGUGUGAUCUCGGCUCACUGCAAUCUCCGCCUCCCCAUGAGAGGUGAAGCCAGCUGGACUUCCUGGGGUUGAGUGGGGACUUGGAGAACUUUUCUGUCUAGCUAAAGAUUUGUAAAUGCACCAAUCAGUGCUGUGUCUAGCUAAAGUUUGUAAACGUACCAAUCAGCACUCUGUAAAAACGGGCCAAUCAGCACUCAGUAAAAUGGACCAAUCAGCACUCUGUAAGAUGGACCAAUCAGCAGGAUGUGGGCGGGGUCAAAUAAAGGAAUAAAAAGCUGGU